rnacentral:rRNA from 1 species
UACGAAGGGUGCUAGCGUUGUUCGGAAUUACUGGGCGUAAAGCGCGCGUAGGCGGCCAUUCAAGUCAGAGGUGAAAGCCCGGAGCUUAACUCCGGAACUGCCUUUGAAACUGUAUGGCUUGAGUGUCGGAGGGGAUAGCGGAAUUGCUAAUGUAGAGGUGAAAUUCGUAGAUAUUAGCAGGAACACCGGUGGCGAAGGCGGCUAUCUGGGACGACAACUGACGCUGAGGCGCGAAAGCGUGGGGAGCGAACAGG